GGGCCUCGCGUCUGCCGCGGAGAUGCACAGCUCCCAGCGGCCACCUGCCGCUCCCUGCCACAUGGCCCUUCCCACAAGGCACAGCUCCUCCGGGCUGGGGGUGGGGGGUGGAGGCCGCUAUGCAGCUUCCAACUCCUCUACUUAGAAAGCCCUGGUUAGAGGUAGGCCAGGCCCAUCCCCGGGUAAUCCGACUGACUCAGGGCCAACUGACCAGGGGACCUUGGUUACAGGGGCAACCCCCUUUUAGCCUUUCCGGGUAAAUAACCCACAUGGCAGGAGUGAUGCCGCUGUGGGCGUCCCUCCAUGCCCACAGCAGGUUAGCUCCAGGUCUCUCCUCCUCCCCGCCCCGCCCCUGUACCGAAAGCCACGGAUGCUCAAGGCCUGUUCCUACAGUGACAUCGCAGGCGCCAGGGUUAUGACGCGGUGAGCAAAGCUGCCGCCUGCACCGCCGGCAUUCUGUAUGGGAGGCCCAGGGGGAGUCCCGUCUCCUCUGCUUCCUGUCCCGCUCUCUGCUAAUGCACCUGGGGAAGCAGCAGAAGAUGGCCUGAGUGCCUGGGCCCAUGCCACCCACUCGGGAGACCCAGAUCGCACUCUGGGUUCCUGGCUCGGACUUGGCCCAGCCCCAGCUGUUGUGGCCAUCUGGGGAGUGACCCAGCAGAAGGAAGAUUCUCUCUCUCUCUCUCUUUCUCUCUCUCUCUCCUUCUCUUUCUCUCCACCCCAUCACUCUGCCUUUCAAAUAAACAGUUAUAACAAAGUGCCGUCCCUGUAUUUGCAUAAUAUGCACAUGUCCUCCAUAUACUUCAAAUCAUCUCAAGAGUACUUAUACAAAAUGCCGUGUGCACAUCAUGCACACCUGGGGGACUCCAGCAAGAUGAUAGAAACAUGGAAUUCAAAGCUUCGUUCGCUGGCUCCAGGGACUGCCUCGUUCAAGAUGUCGCCUUCCAGAUCUUUCCUCCCGGCGCCUUCCGUGCACCCUGGUAACGUGGCAGAGAGCAGCCCUCGCUAA
rnacentral:lncRNA from 1 species